GCUGGGUGUGGUGGAUCACACCUGUAAUCUCAGCACUUUGGGAGGCUGAGGUGGGAGAAUCGCUUGAGCCUAGGAGUUCAAGACCAGCCUAGGCAACAUAGUGAGACCCCAUCUCUA
ensembl:misc_RNA Metazoa_SRP Metazoan signal recognition particle RNA